AGACUGUCAGUUUUAGGGUUAGGUAUAACAGCAUUAAACGACAUAGAUACGUACAUUAAUAAAAAUAAAGUUAUCGAAAUUAUUUUAGAAAUAUGAUUGGAUGUACAAUACCGUUUUGUAAUAAUUCAUCAUUAAAAAAAGGACAUGUUAUGAAAAUAAUUCCGAAAGACACAGAAUGCCGAAUGAAUUGGUUAACGAGUAUAAAUGGCAAAUAUAAAAAUUGGACACCGUCAAAAAAUUCAUCUGUAUGUGAGAUGCAUUUUGUUCCUAAAAUGUGGGAACAGAAAAUGGAUAAUAAAAAGAAAUUAAAACCAAAUGCAGUGCCAACAAUUUUCAAAUACUUUGUAAAGAAGAAAGUACCUUUUAAUAAUCAAAAUUUUGAUGUAGUUGAGGAUAUACAUAGGUUUAUUUUUGACGAUUGCAAAGAAGAUCAAAUUGUAAAUGAUGAACAGAUAGCUAUAAAUGAAACCGUUGAAGUUAAUGCAUCAAUAAUCAAUCCUAAUACAUCAACAAAAUGUACUUCAAGUAUAACAAAAAUCGAUUGAAAAAGAAGAAACAGAUAAAAAAUUAGAAGAAAUAAAUCGAAAAAUGCAAAUUCAUUUAAUUUGCGCAAAAAAAAUGAGAGUUUUAAGAUGUAGAAUAUUAAGACUUGAAAAUAAAAAUAAUAAUGAUCAAUAUAAAAAAGCUUUAAAGGAAGUAUUCUGUGAAGAUCAAAUUAAAAUUUUAUUAACAAAAAAACGAAAAACAAAUUGGCUUAAUAAAACUGUUCAACGUGCACUUAGAUUGAGGUUUAUUUGUGGUACUAAUGGUUAUGAAGAGCUUCUACAACAAAGAAUAUCACUUCCAAAUUUGCGCACUUUACAAUGAAGAUUAGAAAAUUUAAAAUUUGAGAGUGGUAUUUAUAAACGAAAUGUUCGAUUUUUUACAAUUUAAAGUAUCUUCUUUUCAAAAUGACAUUGAUAAAGAAUGUGGGCUUGUUAUUGAUGAAAUAAGUAGAACACCAAAAUGUGUUUAUGAUUCUUCACCGAAAACAUUACUAGGAAAUAUAACAUUUCCAAAUAAAGAAGAUAAUUCAUAAAGCUGAAAUAAUUGGUCUUCGUUAAUUAUACAACUUCUGAUAUGGGUCCUGGAAAUGGCAAACUAUGGAAAUGUCGUGGGAUAAGUGUAGGACGAUAUUUAGAAAUUGUAUUCCCCAUCCUUCUGAUCCUAAUAGAUUCCUAUAUUUUAUUGCAGAUGUACCACGUCUUUUGAAAAAUGUAAAAGAAUCAUUACUUAAC